rnacentral:sRNA from 1 species
AUGAGAACAACUCUAUUCUUGAGGGGCGUCCAAUAACUGCACGCAAAGGAAGUUGAUAUGGUUCAAAUUACCUAGAACUACUCUAUCAAAUAAGAGAUCAAUUGCAGUAUUUUAGGAUCAAUUCACGGAGUUCUUUUGUUCAAACAAUGAGUUAAAUACCGAGAUUAAGCUAGCAGGGUAGUAGUAAAAAUAAAAGAGAACAAAGUAAAAAAACAGCAGAUUGAUUGUGUUGUAAACGAUUUAAUAAAGAGCUAGGAACAGGGUAUUCUCAGGAAACUAUUGAUUAGUAGAUCUAAUGAAAGCUAGGUUGUUAUCGAACCAUUCUUAAACUCAAACUCUAAUUAUGGAAUAACAGGUGGGCGUGCCGCGAAACUCCCUAUAUCUAUAGCUAAUAAUAACUGGAGAAGCCUAGACACUAUCAACCUAAAUAUGCAUACUUAACGAGUUCAAUUGUUCAUCUUAGUAAAUAGGCCGAUUCUUAUUACACACUUAUAAACCAGACUCAUCAAAUAAUAGAUCCAACUACAGAUACCUAUGGCGAGAAUACCUAUUGUCUGGAUUCAAGAUCUAGUUAAUUACUCUAGAUCUAGCAUUAGGCAUAAUUAAAGAUGAAGAAUUCUACAGAUAACCUAGCAAAGAGGACAAUAUACUAAACCAUAUGAAUCCCUAAUGAGAAAUCUAUUCCUAACAACAUAAUUGAGAUAGAAAGCUUAAACACAGUAAAUAGAGAAGGGGAAAGAAGGGAUCUCUUCACUGUAUAAAGAUCUGAAUGAAACUCUGAAAACAAUCGAUGAAUAGCUUAUGUCUCUCACAAUAGGGUUUGCAAUGAACUUGAUAAAAGACUUGAUAAAAGAAACUUAGGUCUAAAAACAAUAUAUAUAGACCCUAAAAACGUCCAGGGACUAAUAAUGCAAAUAGGAAAGUCUUCUGAGGCAAAUUUAAUCUUCUGUAAACUUGAAAGCGUCUAGGGUUUUUGCUAGGUCGAAACUGGUGUCGAUCGACACCAACAGUGUGUCGAUCGACACUCCUCGCUGAUUCCUAAGUCUAAAAUUGUCCUUAGCUUCCUUUUCCUUAGAUCUUGCUCCAAAAUGUCUCCUUAUCUCCAUUGUUGUCCAAUUGCAUAGAAUACCUGAAAAGACACUCAAAAGACUCGAGAAAUAACAUAAAGACUCAAAAUCCUAUACCUAAAACAUAGAUAAAAUUGGUGAAAAUCGGGUUAUAUCAACUCCUCCAGACUUAGCUUUUGCUUGCCCUCAAGCAAAACACAAAAGCCGAACCCGUGGAAGAGGUUUUGAAAACAAAGGAACUCCCAACAUUCUCUAGCCUAUUACCAUGAUCAUCCAAACUAAGUUCAUAUGCCAAACAAGUCUAAUCAAAUCCUAACCAACAUGUACUUCUCUGCAAGCUUACACAACAUUCUAGAUUCCAUACCCAAGUUCUACAACUAUAUCCACCAGGCUUUCAUCGCUGGGUCUCAUCAAACAAGCCAACAUUCAAGAUCCUUCUAGAGUCAUUCCUGUACUAUACCAUAAUAAAUUGACCAUUCUUUAUAUAUAUAUAUAUAUAUAUAUUUUUUUUCUUU